rnacentral:rRNA from 1 species
AUUGAACGCUGGCGGCAUGCUUUACACAUGCAAGUCGAACGGUAACAGGUCUUCGGAUGCUGACGAGUGGCGAACGGGUGAGUAAUGUAUCGGAACGUGCCCAGUAGUGGGGGAUAACUACUCGAAAGAGUGGCUAAUACCGCAUGAGAACUGAGGUUGAAAGCGGGGGACCUUCGGGCCUCGCGCUACUGGAGCGGCCGAUAUCAGAUUAGGUAGUUGGUGGGGUAAAGGCCUACCAAGCCGACGAUCUGUAGCUGGUCUGAGAGGACGACCAGCCACACUGGGACUGAGACACGGCCCAGACUCCUACGGGAGGCAGCAGUGGGGAAUUUUGGACAAUGGACGCAAGUCUGAUCCAGCAAUGCCGCGUGCAGGACGAAGGCCUUCGGGUGUAAACUGCUUUUGUACAGAACGAAAAGGCCCUCUCUAAUACAGGGGGUUCAUGACGGUACCGUAAGAAUAAGCACCGGCUAACUACGUG